rnacentral:rRNA from 1 species
CGGGGGGAGCAAGCGUUGUUCGGAUUUACUGGGCGUAAAGGGCGCGUAGGCGGUCAGCACAAGUCAGUUGUGAAAUCUCCGGGCUUAACUCGGAAAGGUCAACUGAUACUGUGCGACUAGAGUGCAGAAGGGGCAACUGGAAUUCUCGGUGUAGCGGUGAAAUGCGUAGAUAUCGAGAGGAACACCUGCGGCGAAGGCGGGUUGCUGGGCUGACACUGACGCUGAGGCGCGAAAGCCAGGGGAGCGAACGGGAUUAGAUACCCCGGUAGUCCUGGCCUUAAACGAUGGAUGCUUGGUGUCUGGAGUUAUAUAGUCUCCGGGUGCCGCAGCUAACGCGUUAAGCAUCCCGCCUGGGGAGUACGGUCGCAAGACUG